rnacentral:rRNA from 1 species
CAGCAGCCGCGGGAAUACGGAGGGAGCUAGCGUUGUUCGGAAUUAUUGGGCAUAAAGGGCAUCUUGGCGGCACGACAAGUCAGGGAUGAAAACUUGCGGCUCAACUGCAAGCUUGCCUUUGAAACUGUAGUGCUAGAGUAUUGGAAAGGUGGGCGGAACUACACGAGUAGAGGUGAAAUUCGUAGAUAUGUGUAGGAAUGCCGAUGAUGAAGAUAGCUCACUGGACGAUAACUGACGCUGAAGUGCGAAAGCUAGGGGAGCGAACAGGAUUAGAUACCCCGGUAGUCCCUGUCUCUUAUAC